UAGCCCGGAUGUACCUAUAUCACGCUAGAACCUCGGCGACAGCGUGUGCUGCGGUCGCAUGAGGAGGUGCAUGGAGUAAUUUUGGCCGGAGGACAUGGACCGGCGUCGCCGCUGUUUUAUAUUCGCCGGAAUCCUUACCUGUGCCUCACUCUGCUGUGGCGGACCAGUGGAUUGUGUGGCGCACCAGCAUCCUAAUGGCUCAGUGACUUAUGUCUUACCUAAGCCUCUGUGCCCGGGGCAGUGGUCCUUCAACAACACUGUCAUCGCUUUUAAUGAAGACAAUGGAACAGAAUACAAUAAAACUCUAGUUUCUGCUCUAGCUGAGGCUUUCAUCACUCUGAAGAGCUGCAAGCACACCUUGACCUUCAGAAAAGUGUGCACGGCGGAGCCUCAAAUAAUACACUGUUCACGUGAGUAUGAUUCAUAUUCUUUUGUUUACUAUUUAGCAGAGAUAAAAAAAAAAACCUUGUAAAACCUUGUGAAGCAUUAAGUGCAAUCAGUUCAUUUUGAAAUAGUUCUUCAGUUUAGUCUUAAAUACAAUUUAAAACAUUUUAGAAAUUGUAAAGAAAAUCAAUAUAUGGUAGCUACAUCCAGCUUAAGCCAAAUGUACUGUUAGGAGAAGAGUAAUAAAUGCCUACUUUUGCAUUGUGGUUCCA
rnacentral:lncRNA from 1 species